rnacentral:rRNA from 1 species
UACGAAGGGGGCUAGCGUUGCUCGGAAUCACUGGGCGUAAAGGGUGCGUAGGCGGGUCUUUAAGUCAGGGGUGAAAUCCUGGAGCUCAACUCCAGAACUGCCUUUGAUACUGAGGAUCUUGAGUUCGGGAGAGGUGAGUGGAACUGCGAGUGUAGAGGUGAAAUGCGCAGAUAUCAGGAAGAACACCCGUGGCGAAAGCGGCUCUCUGGAACGGUACUGGACGCUGAGAGCGAAAGCGUGGGGAGCGAACAGG